CGGAUAUUGGGCGUAAGCGCGCGCAGGUGGUUUCUUAAGUCUGAUGUGAAAGCCCACGGCUCAACCGGGGAGGGGCAUUGGAAACUGGGAAACUUGAGUGCGGAAGAGGAAGGUGGAAUUCCCUGUGUAGCGGUGAAAUGCGUAGAGAUAUGGAGGAACACCAGUGGCGAAGGCGACUUUCUGGUCUGUAACUGACACUGAGGCGCGAAAGCGUGGGGAGCAAACAGGAUUAGAUACCCUGGUAGUCCACGCCGUAAACGAUGACUGCUAACCGUUGGAAGGCUUCCGCCCUUUAGGGCUGAACUUAACGCAUUAAUCUCUCCGCCCUGGGGAGUACGGCCGCAGGGCUGAACCUCAAUGGAUUUGACGGGGGCC
rnacentral:rRNA from 1 species